GUGGGGGAUAUUGCACAAUGGGGGAAACCCUGAUGCAGCAACGCCGCGUGUGGGAAGAAGGUUUUCGGAUUGUAAACCACUGUUCUUGGUGAAGAUAAUGACGGUAACCAAGGAGAAAGCUCCGGCUAACUACGUGCCAGCAGCCGCGGUAAUACGUAGGGAGCAAGCGUUGUCCGGAUUUACUGGGUGUAAAGGGUGCGUAGGCGGCUAGGCAAGUCAGACGUGAAAACCAUGGGCUCAACCUGUGGACUGCGUUUGAAACUGUUUAGCUUGAGUGAAGUAGAGGUAGGCGGAAUUCCCGGUGUAGCGGUGAAAUGCGUAGAGAUCGGGAGGAACACCAGUGGCGAAGGCGGCCUACUGGGCUUUAACUGACGCUGAGGCACGAAAGCAUGGGUAGCAAACAGGAUUAGAAACCCUAGUAGUCC
rnacentral:rRNA from 1 species